GAUGAACGCUAGCUACAGGCUUAACACAUGCAAGUCCAGGGACCGGCGCACGGGUGAGUAACACGUAUCCAACCUGCCCUUUACUCGGGGAUAGCCUUUCGAAAGAAAGAUUAAUACCCGAUAUAAGGGAUGGGGAUGCGUUCCAUUAGGUUGUUGGUGAGGUAACGGCUCACCAAGCCUUCGAUGGAUAGGGGUUCGGAGAGGAAGGGCCCCCACAGUGGAACGGAGACACGGUCCAAACGCCUACGGGAGGCAGCAGUGAGGAAGAUUGGUCAAUGGGCGCUAGACUGAACCAGCCAAGUAGCGGGAAGGAUGAAGGCUUAUGGGGCGUAAACUUCUUGUAUAUAAGAAUAUGUAUUAGAUGAAUAAGGAUCGGCUAACUCCGUGCCAGCAGCCGCGGUAAUAC
rnacentral:rRNA from 1 species